rnacentral:rRNA from 1 species
UACGGAGGGAGCUAGCGUUGUUCGGAAUUACUGGGCGUAAAGCGCACGUAGGCGGCGAUUCAAGUCAGAGGUGAAAGCCCGGGGCUCAACCCCGGAACUGCCUUUGAAAUUAGAUUGCUAGAAUCCUGGAGAGGUUAGUGGAAUUCCGAGUGUAGAGGUGAAAUUCGUAGAUAUUCGGAAGAACACCAGUGGCGAAGGCGACUAACUGGACAGGUAUUGACGCUGAGGUGCGAAAGCGUGGGGAGCAAACAGG